rnacentral:lncRNA from 1 species
GGACAUUCAUGAGAGAGGCUUUGUACCAAAACCCCAUUUUAUUGCAUAGACUCACAUCAUGAUCCAAGCCAAACUCGCACCAUGAUCCAACCCAAUUAACUACAAUUUCGCCAAGGCAUCUGCCCACCACCUUGGGACUGAAGAUAUUGGGUAAGCCCUUAAUGUUGCAAGGCUGCCCAACUAGCUAACCCAAAUGGAGGAGGAAGGUGGCAUGGGGCUCACGUAUUAGCAUCAAUAUCCAUCCAACCAACAACCACACCCUCCACCCCCUAAUAAAUUC